CACCGGCGGCUCGAGUGGUAACCGCUAUUAUUGGGUCUAAAGGGUCUGUAGCCUGCAGGUUAAGUCUCUUGGUAAAUCCGGCAGCUCAACUGUCGGGGUUCAGGGGAUACUGGUCUGCUCGGGACCGGGAGAGGUGAGAGGUACCUCAGGGGUAGGGGUGAAAUCUUGUAAUCCUUGAGGGACCACCAGUGGCGAAGGCGUCUCACCAGAACGGGUCCGACGGCAAGGGACGAAAGCUAGGGGCACGAACCGGAUUAGAUACCCGGGUAGUCCUAGCCGUAAACGAUACUCGCUAGGUGUCGGCCACGGUGCGACCGUGGUCGGUGCCGUAGGGAAGCCGUGAAGCGAGCCACCUGGGAAGUACGGCCGCAAGGCUGAA
rnacentral:rRNA from 2 species